GUAGUCCACGCCGUAAACGAUGGAUGCUAGCUGUGGGGGGUAUCGACCCCUUCCGUAGCGAAGCUAACGCGUUAAGCAUCCCGCCUGUGGAGUACGGCCGCAAGGCUAAAACAUAAAGGAAUUGACGGGGACCCGCACAAGUAGUGGAGCAUGUUCUUUAAUUCGAUGGUAAACGAUAAACCUUACCAGGGUUUGACAUCCCGAGAAUCACUUCGAAAGUUGUGAGUGCUUUAUUGAACUCGGUGACAGGUGCUGCAUGGCCGUCGUCAGCUCGUGUCGUGAGAUGUUUGGUUAAG
rnacentral:rRNA from 1 species